AGCCCCAAAUGGGAGGUUACGAGCCCUGGAAUCUAGACCCAGCUGCCAUUUCUAAACUCCCCAACUUAGCUUGAAUCAUGGGUCUGUUUCCUCUCCUAGAUAAUGGAGAUAAUGAUGUCUUUCCUGCCUACUUCACUGGGCUGCAGUGACAGGAGCCAUUGCUAAUUGUGAUGUUAAUAAGCACCCAGGACCCGUUCUCUCUGAGUCAGUGUCCUUAGCAAAGGGAAGUGAAUUCUGAUGUUGAAAUCUCUGUCCUCCCCUAAGCUAACAUCUUUCUUAACCCUUCAGGGUGCACGCCACAAUUUCCUUUUGUAAGUGGAGCGCCUUGCUUUCCAAAAUGCUGGAGUAGCAAUGUACCUUUUUUAAAAUUAAAAUUAAAAAAAAUUUUUUGAGAUGGAGUCUUGCUGCAUUGCCCAGGCUGGAGUGCGAUGGCGGAGGCUGCAGGAGAGUCUGGAGCCUCCGAGUGCAGAUGGCGUGGGGCGCCAGGACCAACUUAGUAAUGAGUUUAUAUCAGUCUGCAAUGUAGGUCGCAGGAAGCUUAGCCGGCUUCUCUGGGGAGGGUCAUGUGUCAACUCAGCCUAAGAUGCCAGCUGCUCUGCAGCCUGAGUAAUAGUGACUCAGGGAUAGAAGGUCCUACAUUAAAAUUGACCAGGCGUUCUAUUACUCUGGCAACAAAGUCCGACUUUAGAGCUGGCUUGGGGGGGAUCUGGGGAAAGAUGGGAACAGCAGUAAUGACUUCUGGCCCCCUCAUGAGGCCCUGCAAGUAAAGCCUUCAGGCAGCUGGCCUUGUCUGGGAGUUCGGGCUGGGGCCACUUCAUGUGACUAUGGUUUGGCUCUCCUAAGACAGCCUUCUUCUGGGUUCCAAAAAGCUCCAUGGCUGUGUCACUGCCAUGUGUAAGGGAGGUCUAGUGUCAUGAGAGUCAUGUGAAAGAGACAAGGGGUUAGCUAGGCUGUGGCAUGGCUGCCAAAAGUGUAUAUAUAUACGCUCAGGUUGGAUUACUAGAGGCAGAGAGAUAAAGAAGGGAGGUUCUUAGUUCUACUAACCACUCUUCUGGUUAGAACACACAUAGAAUAUUAUCUUCUGUUCUGAUUAUAUUUUGAGACAGGGUCUCACUCUGCUGCCCAGGCUGGAGUGCAGUGGUAUGAUCAUGGCUCACUGUAGCCUCGACCUCCUGGGCUCAGGGGAUCAUCUCAUCUCAGCCUCCCAAGUAGCUAGGACUACAGGCAUGUGCCAGCAUGCCUGGCUAAUUUUUAAGCUUUUUGUAGAGAGGAGGUCUCACUUUGUUGCCCAGGCUGGUGUCAAACUCCUGGGCUCAAGUGAUCCUCCUGCCUUGGCCUCCCAAAGUAUUGGGAUUACAGACGUGAGCCACCAUGCCUGGCCCUGGUUAUAUUUUAGAGAUGAAGGGAAUGAUCAAGGACAAGAAGUUACCUGUGGGAUUCACGUUUUCUUUUCCUUGCCAACAAUCCAAAAUAGAUGAGGUAAGGAUGUUCUGGGAUUAUCGGGCUCUGCAGAUGCCCCGGGAUGGAAAAGCUAACAAGCCCUUUUCUCCACAACUUUUCCCCUUUGUUGGCAGAAUGGUUUGCAUGUCUGGUAUUUUUAAAGAAACAUUUGCAGAAGUUAGUGUGGUAUCAUGAUAUAGUGUUUACUUUUUCACUUAAACUUCAGUUAUUUAUGUAUUUUUGGAGACAAAUCAGGGUAUUUUUGGCCACCAGGUAGACAGAAGCAUUUAUUAAUCUUAGGCAAGCAAAGGAAAAUAAAGUAGUCCACCUGAAUUAAUGGAUUUUCAUCAAUGGCGAGCUCCCCACCAGUGGAGGUGGCAGCAGUGAAUAAACUAGGUUUCUCAGUGAGGGAAUUCCCAAGUUCUUACACCCAGAGUUGAGCAUCACCAUUGCAGGCUGAGACUGUGGUACCAGCUUGGUGACAAGGGACCCCGCAGCCCUAGGAGAGUUAGGUAGGGUCACCUACCUCUGUAAACCAGUUAAUCCAGUUACAUCGCUGACUUGGGACUUUUUUCUUCUGAAACCCUUUUAGAGCUCAGGAGUUAGAUCUGUUUAAACUUUUUUAAAAAAAAUUUUUAGAAUUUUAAAGUUUCCUUUUUUGAGACAGGGUCUUACUCUGUCACCCAGGCUGGAGUGCAGUGGAGCAAUCUUGGCUCACUGCAACCUCUGCCUCCCAGGCUCAAGCGAUCCUCCCGCUUCAGCCUCCCUAGUAGCUGGGAUUACAGGUGGGCAUCUACAUCUGGCUAAUUUUUGUGUUUUUGGUAAAGAUGGUGUUUUGCCAUGCUGCUCAGGCUGGUCUCCAACUCCUGGGCUCAAGCAAUCUGCUCGCCUUGGCCUCCAAAGUGUUGGGGUUUUUAAAUAGAGGUGGGGUCUUGCUAUGUUACCCAUGCUGGUCUUGAACUCCUGGGCUCCAGUGAUCCUCCUGCCUCACCCUCCCAAAGUGUUAGGAUUCCAAGCAUGGGCCACCACACCAAGCCACUUUCCAAGAUGCCCCCGGGGUGUGUUCUCCAGUGUUGCAAUGAGUCAGUAAAGCCCAACUUUGUUAGAUUACAGGUGUGUUUCUCGUGGUCUUUGGCUGGAGGACAUUGAAAAAAUAUAAAAUGAAAAAUUCCCAAGAUUUAAUUUAACUCAUUAAUUAAUGAGGGAGUCAGUAAGAGACUGUUUUAAAUUUUUUUUUUGACUUUUUUUCAAAUCCCAUUACACUGAGCAAAGUAAGAACUUUAAAAAACAAAACAAAACAAAACAGAACACUUCAAAUAACAGUCUAAAGAGCAGACAGAUACCUGGGCACUAGGCUGUCAGGGAAGCUGAAAUGAGUGUCUGAAAGAGGGCUGAUUUGUCUGCUGUCUUUUGCAGUUAAAUAGAAAAAAAACAAAAAGGGCUGAGUUGCAUCUGGAAGGGUAUGCUACACAACUUACAAUAUUUCAUUGAAAAUAUAGCUGCGGGUUGGGUGCAGUGACUCACACCUGUAGCCAAGGCAGGAGGAACUUUGGGAGGCCAAGGCAGGAGGAACGCUUGAGCCCAGGAGUUGGAGACCAGCCUG
rnacentral:lncRNA from 10 species